GAUGAACGCUAGCGGGAGGCUUAACACAUGCAAGUCGAGGGGUAUUGUAGCAAUACAUUAGACCGGCGCACGGGUGAGUAACGCGUAUGCAACCUGCCGUUAACCGGGGGAUAGCCCGUCGAAAGGCGGAUUAAUACCCCAUAAUAUUGGGAUUCUGCAUGGGAUUUCAAUUAAAGCUGAGGUGGUUAACGAUGGGCAUGCGUGACAUUAGCUAGUUGGUAGGGUAACGGCCUACCAAGGCUACGGUGUCUAGGGGUUCUGAGAGGAAGGUCCCCCAGAAUUGGACGUAGGCCCGGACCAGACUCGUACGGGAGGGAGGAGUGAGGAAUAUUGGUCAAUGGACGAGGGCCUGAACCAGCCGUGCCGCGUGCAGGAAGGCGGCCCUAUGGGUUGUAAACUGCUUUUGCGCAUGAAGAAUGUUACCGACGUGUCGGUAAGUGACGGUAAUGCGUGAAUAAGCAUCGGCUAACUCCGUGCCAGCCGCCGCGGUAAGAC
rnacentral:rRNA from 1 species